UACGUAGGGGGCAAGCGUUGUCCGGAAUCAUUGGGCGUAAAGCGCGUGUAGGCGGCCCGGUAAGUCCGCUGUGAAAGUCCAGGGCUCAACCCUGGAAUGCCGGUGGAUACUGUCGGGCUCGAGUCCGGAAGAGGCGAGUGGAAUCCUGGUGUAGCGGUGAAAUGCGCAGAUAUCAGGAGGAACACCAAUGGCGAAGGCAGCUCGCUGGGACGGUACUGACGCUGAGGCGCGAAAGCGUGGGGAGCAAACGGG
rnacentral:rRNA from 1 species